UACGGAGGGUGCAAGCGUUAUCCGGAUUCACUGGGUUUAAAGGGUGCGUAGGUGGGCUGGUAAGUCCGUGGUGAAAUCUCCAAGCUUAACUUGGAAACUGCCGUGGAUACUAUUAGUCUUGAAUCUCGUGGAGGUAAGCGGAAUAUGUCAUGUAGCGGUGAAAUGCUUUAGAUAUGACAUAGAACACCGAUAGCGAAGGCAGCUUGCUACACGAGUAUUGACACUGAGGCACGAAAAGCGUGGGGAUCAAACAGG
rnacentral:rRNA from 1 species